ensembl:snoRNA small nucleolar RNA SNORA5
AGUCUCUCAUUCAAAACUCAAAGCCUGGACCUGUGUAAGAUACAGGUUUUGGUAAAUAUAGAGGGCCAAACUAACCCUGGGUCUUGACUCUGUUGACUUCAGUGGAGCUACAGGGAUAAAUUUGGUCCAGAGUUUU